GUCAAAGUAAUAUUUUUCAAAACGGAUUACUAUGCGUGAUGUUACAAAUAUGCACUACUGCUAAUAUUUCGGGUUUUUUCCUUUGCCCCUUUAUAUAUACGCCUUAUCAUAUAGUAUAUAACUAGAAGCAAGAGCUGGGAAUCUCUAUUCCCAUCAUGUGGCAUGUAUAGACCCGAGUAUAAUUAUAUGUUAUCCGUUAAUCAAAACUAUGGAAAAAUCGUGCAGUUUCACACUUUCGAAAAGGAUACACGUGUCCAUUUCCAUCAGAUGUGAGUGUCUCAGCUGUAAAUUAGCAAUAUCGGUCAGUGGCGUUUUUCCGAUAGCGGCCAUAUUGUGGAAAAUCGACUUUGUCGGAUAUGAGUGUCUCGGUUGUAAAUUAACAAUAUCGAUCAGUAACGCGUUCAUUUCGAUGGCGGCCAUAUUGUCGAAGAUCGACAACUUUGUCGGAUGUGGGUGUCUCGGCUGUAAAUUAACAAUAUCGAUCAGUAACGUCCUUUCUGAUGGCAACCGUAUUUGUCUAAGUACUACGAAAAGCCAUCGAGUUUCCCAAUAAGUAAGUCUAAUAGUACAGGGUGUUUCAAAAAAAAACGCAACCACUUAAAUAUGCAAUUGAAAAUGGCUCUUAAUUAAUCCUUCAUUUAAAAUGCUAAAAGUCAUUUUAGCUGAACUGUGAUGCAAACCCGACCAAUAUUAUACAUAGUAUAUUCUUGCAUAUUUAAGUAAUAAUCUAAUAAUAUAUUCCGCCGGUUUUCCAUACUAGGCGGAAUUUUUCGAUCGAAACUAAAUCUUUCCCUCGAUUUUCUUUUCAAUUGUGACCGGUGAAGGGAAUCUGCCACGGUCGAAGUCUCACAAUUGACGCCUAAUUAUGGAUUAUAAGUAUUGCGAAAUACAUGAUGACACACGCAAACUCGCUCGCGGACAACCACGCUGAUAUCCAAGACUGAUGUAAAAAUGCUUUGACAAAGAUUGAAGAAAAUACGGGAAAGCGCUAUAGAACAGGCAUGUUUUCAUCAAGUAGAUAAAACGAAUCAACCUGGUUGUUCUGACGUUGGUGAUCAAAGUGUCGCGCAACAGCGAGGUUUCUUGCCUCGGAGGCUGUUAUUCGUGUCGCCUUUUUUGCCCAGACGGGAGAAAAUGCUUUUCCCGCCGUGUGCAUGGGCGUGAAAAUUAAAACGAGAUUGGUCUCUGGAAUAGAAAGAAGUUGUUGAAUCGUCACAUAAAAAAAUCAACUUUUCAAGAGAAAUACUGUGUCAUACAUGGGAAUACUUUAUUAAAGGUGAUAAGUUGGACUGAAUAGUUGACAAAAUAUCA